rnacentral:rRNA from 1 species
UACGUAGGGGGCAAGCGUUGUCCGGAUUUACUGGGCGUAAAGAGCGUGUAGGCGGCCAAGCAGGUCCGUUGUGAAAACUGGAGGCUCAACCUCCAGACGUCGACGGAAACCGCUCGGCUAGAGUCCGGAAGAGGAGAGUGGAAUUCCUGGUGUAGCGGUGAAAUGCGCAGAUAUCAGGAAGAACACCGAUGGCGAAGGCAGCUCUCUGGGACGGUACUGACGCUGAGACGCGAAAGCGUGGGGAGCGAACAGG